AUCAUAUUAGCUCUCCUGGAAACACUGGGUCUUUACCAAUAGCAACACUGACUAUUCUAUAUAAAUCAAAUUUACCAGCCUAUAAACAUUAGCACAUCCCACAGACAUAUUCACCCUCAUAAAAACAUCAAUUGCUGCCUGACUAUAUUAGUGGAAAUAAAUUACAGAACUUUAUCUCUCUGCCACGAUUAUGGGCAAAACCACAUAAAAGAGACACUUGGAAGACGCUUUUGUGUCGAUUGUUACAGAAGCUGCUGAUGCUGUUCUGCUUCUUCAAACCACUAUGAAUUGCAUAUAAUUAAGGGAUUUGAAAACCUUUGAUGACUAAACGAUAAAAAUGCCCCCUCUGCAAACCCUGAAGCACCUGUGUGAGCAAUUUUGUGCAGGUGAGGAGAAUAAAACCAACUUACUAAGCAUCUCACGUUGGAAGGGGAGCAUAGGAUAGGUUCUUUUAUGCUGCUCCUCCAGUGAAGGAUGAACAGGAGAAAAUGUCUGACUGGGGGGGGGGAGAGAGUUUGUGCCAUUCAGCUCCUCAGAAAGAUGGCUGUGAGGAUUUAUUAUUUUCUCUGAAGCUGAACAAUUUUAUCAGGAGCUGCACAGCAGUAUCCCCUGGUUUUGUGUCCGGUGUCUUCGUGAGUGGUGGACUGAGAGCAUCCAGUCAGAGGGAGCGAUGAAAACCUCUCCCCGCGCACACCAACAAAGUGUCCCCACCACGGCGGGACCUGGGACCUCUCGUCACUGAACUCCAUCAAACUGCAGAGCAGUGUGAGGGCUGGUGGAGGUCCUACAGCUUUUGUGGUGAUUCUUCGUCGAACAGAGAAGAGCAGCCCAAAUUAAGGCCUUGCCCAAGAGGAAAAUGGGCAGAACCUGGCCGUUAGAUUGGGAGUUUGGAAGCAGCCAGUCGGCCAAGGAGCAAGGUGUUGGCCUCUUCUACAGGACAUAGGAAGGAGCUGGUGUUACUGUGGGAUGCAGAUUUAAGGCACUGAGCACAACAAUUCAUGAGAAAUCAGACUCUCUCUUAAUUCCACAGUUCACAGUUUUUUUUGUUGUUUGUUUUUUUCCCUUUGGUAUAACUCUGGAUUUUCUUAUUAUCUGCCUAAAAUGGUGAUCCCUUUC
rnacentral:lncRNA from 1 species